GAGCCCGUGGCUCAAUGGUUAGAGCGUUUGAAUUCUGAUCAACGGGGUGCGGGUUCG
rnacentral:tRNA from 1 species